rnacentral:rRNA from 1 species
AGCAACUUGUACUGUGAAACUGCGAAUGGCUCAUUAAAUCAGUUAUCGUUUAUUUGAUAGUACCUUACUACAUGGAUACCUGUGGUAAUUCUAGAGCUAAUACAUGCUAAAAACCCCGACUUCAGGAAGGGGUGUAUUUAUUAGAUAAAAAACCAACGCCCUUCGGGGCUCCUUGGUGAAUCAUAAUAACUUAACGAAUCGCAUGGCCUUGCGCCGGCGAUGGUUCAUUCAAAUUUCUGCCCUAUCAACUUUCGAUGGUAGGAUAGUGGCCUACCAUGGUGGCAACGGGUAACGGGGAAUUAGGGUUCGAUUCCGGAGAGGGAGCCUGAGAAACGGCUACCACAUCCAAGGAAGGCAGCAGGCGCGCAAAUUACCCAAUCCCGAUACGGGGAGGUAGUGACAAUAAAUACUGAUACGGGGCUCUUUUGGGUCUCGUAAUUGGAAUGAGAACAAUUUAAAUCCCUUAACGAGGAACAAUUGGG